CCCAUGCCUUGGCCUCUGUCUCUCUUCUCCAAGCAUCUCCCAUGGUAGCUGCAGCGUGGCGGGCAGCUGGGUCUUUGUUUGCCGUGGUGGCCGUCAAGGUUCAUACAUUACCACACAGCGUGGCUGGUCCAGGGGUGGACGGACUGCUCCGCUGGAGGCCCGCUGUGGUGUGGGUGCCUGUUGGCUUGCGUUAGCCUCUCGUUGAAGGCUCCCGCCCUCCGUGGUGAGGCUGCACUGUGGCCCAGCCUAGUGAGUGGCUGCUGCUUUGGCUCUGUGCUUUUAUCAUCUCUCUUUUUAUGUCGUCACAUCCCCUGGCCAGCCUCUGGUAUUACAAGCCCCUUCUGCUUCGCGUGAAGGACUGGCUCUUGCUUUCAUGGUCUGAGAGCCGUCGGACCUCACAAGCAUCAGGGCAGGCUUUUGUUAAAAGUGCCAGGACAAGAGGAGACCUACUGUUUUGACACUUAAAAACUAUUUUUUGUUUGGUUUUUUGUGUGUUCAUUUUCUUAUUUAGUUUGGGUAAAUUGUUAUUUGCUUUGUUCAAAUUAAAUAUACUGUUUGGUAUA